rnacentral:rRNA from 1 species
UCGCCUGUUUAUCAAAAACAUCUCCUAAAUUAUAGGUAUCACCUGCUCAAUGAAUAAUAUUAAAUAGCCAAACUAUGCUAAGGUAGCAUAAUAAUUUGCUUUAUAAUUAAAAGAUAGAAUGAAUGGUAUUUCUAAAAGUAAUUAUUUUAUUUUUAAAUUUAAUUUUUUUAAAGUUGAAAAUUACUUUGUGAAUUUUUUAGACGAUAAGACCCUAUGAAGCUUUAUUAAUAAAAUAAAUUAUUAAAUAAAAAAAUUAAUUUUUUUGGGGCAAAAAAAAAUUUUUUUAUUUUUAAAAAGAUAAAUUUUGAUCUUUAGGAAUUUUAAGAAAAAGCUACUCUAGGGAUAACAGCAUAAUUUUUAUAAAAGUUCUUAUUAAAAUAAAAGUUUGUGACCUCGAUGUUGA